rnacentral:rRNA from 1 species
UACGUAGGGUGCAAGCGUUAUCCGGAAUUAUUGGGCGUAAAGAGCUCGUAGGCGGUUUGUCGCGUCUGCUGUGAAAACCGGAGGCUCAACCUCCGGCCUGCAGUGGGUACGGGCAAACUAGAGUGCGGUAGGGGAGAUUGGAAUUCCUGGUGUAGCGGUGGAAUGCGCAGAUAUCAGGAGGAACACCGAUGGCGAAGGCAGAUCUCUGGGCCGUAACUGACGCUGAGGAGCGAAAGCCAGGGGAGCAAACGGG